GACAGAGGGUGCAAACGUUGCUCGGAAUCACUGGGCGUAAAGGGCGUGUAGGCGGGAAGGAAAGUCAGAUGUGAAAUCCCCAGGCUCAACCUGGGAACUGCAUUUGAAACUCCCUUUCUUGAGUACCGGAGAGGAAAGUGGAAUUCCUGGUGUAGAGGUGAAAUUCGUAGAUAUCAGGAGGAACACCGGUGGCGAAGGCGGGUCUCUGGGCCGAUACUGACGCUGAGGAGCGAAAGCGUGGGGAGCGAACAGG
rnacentral:rRNA from 1 species